rnacentral:rRNA from 1 species
CAAUUUUCCAACAACGGAUCUCUUGGCUCUCGCAUCGAUGAAGAACGCAGCGAAAUGCGAUAAGUAAUGUGAAUUGCAGAAUUCAGUGAAUCAUCGAAUCUUUGAACGCACCUUGCGCUCCUUGGUAUUCCGAGGAGCAUGCCUGUUUGAGUGUCAUUA